rnacentral:rRNA from 1 species
UACGUAGGGUGCAAGCGUUGUCCGGAAUUAUUGGGCGUAAAGAGCUCGUAGGCGGUUUGUCGCGUCUGUUGUGAAAACCCGAGGCUCAACCUCGGGCCUGCAGUGGGUACGGGGCAGACUAGAGUGCGGUAGGGGGAGAUUGGAAUUCCUGGUGUAGCGGUGGAAUGCGCAGAUAUCAGGAGGAACACCGGUGGCGAAGGCGGGUCUCUGGGCCGUAACUGACGCUGAGGAGCGAAAGCGUGGGGAGCGAACAGG